GACGAACGCUGGCGGCGUGCUUAACACAUGCAAGUCGAACGGGCCCGCCCCUGUUUUUGGGGGUGGGUUGAGUGGCGAACGGGUGAGCAUCACGUGAGUAACCUGCCCCCUGCUCCUGGAUAACUGCUUGAAAGGGCGGCUAAUACGGGGUGUGCCGGCUGGUCCGCAUGGGCCUGGUCGGGAUAGUUUCAUCUUCGGGUGUUUCGGUGGGGGAUGGGCUCGCGGCCUAUCAGCUUGUUGGUGGGGUGAUGGCCCACCAAGGCGGUGACGGGGGGCCGGCCUGAGAGGGUGGGCGGCCAGACUGGGACGGGGACACGGCCCAGAUGCCUGCGGGAGGCAGCAGGGGGGGGGAUUGCACAAUGGGCGGAAGCCUGAUGCAGCGACGUCGCGUGAGGGAGGGAGGCCUUCGGGUUGUGAACCUCUUUCUCCGGUGGUGAAGGCCCUGUCCGGUGCGGCGGGGUUGACGGUAGCCGGGUAUGAAGCGCCGGCUAACUACGUG
rnacentral:rRNA from 1 species